UACGUAGGGUGCAAGCGUUACUCGGAAUUACUGGGCGUAAAGCGUGCGCAGGCGGUCGUGCAAGACAGGUGUGAAAUCCCCGGGCUUAACCUGGGAACUGCACUUGUGACUGCACGGCUGGAGUACGGUAGAGGGGGAUGGAAUUCCGCGUGUAGCAGUGAAAUGCGUGGAUAUGCGGAGGAACACCGAUGGCGAAGGCAGUCCCCUGGACCUGUACUGACGCUCAUGCACGAAAGCGUGGGGAGCAAACAGG
rnacentral:rRNA from 1 species